GGGCCAGCUUUAGCCCAGCGGUUCUUUCCCUCACUUAAAACAUUUCUUACAUUUUCGCUUUGUGGUUCGAAUCCCAGGACCCGUCCGACACCCGCGGGUGCUUCCCAGUCCUCCC
ensembl:vault_RNA Vault Vault RNA